AUGGGGAGGUACAAGACCCAACUCUUUUACAGUGAAAACUGCAGGAACUUCCAACCGGCACUAGGAAACAGACUGAGAAACCAGAG